GAUGAACGCUGGCGGCGUGCCUAACACAUGCAAGUCGAACGCUGGUGCUCUAGCUUUCUAGGUCGAAGGAGUGGCGAACGGGUGAGUAAUACAUAAGCAACCUACCCUCGAAGACUGGGAUAAUCUCUGGAAACGGGGACUAAUACCGGAAAGGUAAUCGGAAGGCCUCUUCUGGUUAUUAAAGGUUAUUAACUCUGGUGGAUGGGCUUAUGGCGCAUUAGUUAGUUGGUGUGGUAACUGGCCACCGGGACGAGGAUGCGUAGCCCGACUGAGAGGGUCAACGGCCACAUGGGAGCAGGGACACGGACAAGGGGCCUACGGGACGCAGCAGUAGGGUAUUGGCGGCAGUGGGGGCGACCAUGACCGAGCGACGCCGCGUGAGUGAAGGCCGCGUUCGGGUUGUAAAGCCCUGUUGUGAGGGAAGAACGGUAGAUAGAGGAGACGUAAGUGACGGUACCGGACCAAAAAGCCACGGCUAACUACGUG
rnacentral:rRNA from 1 species